UUGUUUGUUUGCAUUUAAUAAAUAAUUUACUUUGACCUUGGAAGAACAAACGUUUUCUGCAACUAAUUAUAUAUCUUCUCAAAUCUCAAUUCCUCCCAUCUGAACGUGCUUCGUACAAAAGGAGUUUUGAGUUGCAUCUCAUGACUAUGCUGCAUGGGCUCGCCAAUUCUUCACAGAGACACAAUUUGCUCCAGGAGCUUUUGGCCGGCGUAGCUUUGGACGAGCCAUAUUCCGUCGUCGCCGCCUCCCUGGCGAAACCCAUAAUCUGCUAUAAUUUUAUUUGAUGGAAGAGAAUUCUAGCAAGAAGAACUCAAUAACUGAGAAGCGAGAAAGAGGAACCUGAGUUGGUGUGAGUGGUUCUACUCUUAUUGAAGUAGAAGAUAAUUCUGAUCGAAGAAGUCAAGAGAUACGACCUGGAAGCUUAUCAAAAAGGAUCAAUUGCCAUGGAUUUAGUUAAAGCAUGUUUUACAGUGUACUGACUGUAGUCAAUUAAAGAUGCAAUCUGGACACAGAAAUACUGAAAUAUGUUGAAGAAGCUUUAUCCAAAAGGUGUCUACGCUGUCUGCUGUAGAAAUUGGAUAGAUGUUGAGGGUUAGAUUCUGAUUUUGAACUUGCUGUGGGGAUCUCUGCUACUAGGCAUAGCCUACAAAUUUUUUGGGAUGUGAAAUUAGUUGAAUAAAAUUAUAUCUGUUAUAUUUGAUAACUAAUUUCAACUGUAGUAUUACACCAAACGUACAUUGAUGCUUUUAUAAUGUUAAUGCAUUUUAAUAUUUUCUAUGGCUUUUGUUUAUAGUAAUGAAAGUUGUUGUUCAACAUGGACUAUAUUUGUUGUCCCAUGUAAGAAGCCUGCGAAGCCUUCAUAAAUAUUUUUUUCCCCAUUCUAAUUAAUCGCUUCCAUAUAUUUUUUUCCCUUUUCUAAUUUCCUGAGAAAAUAGAUUUUGUUGGAAAUUUUAUUUUUUCUGAGUGGGUUCGAUGGGUUUUGAUUUUCUUUCUACAAGAAAAGAUUGGAGGAAACCAUCUGGAUUUGAUUCAGCUUUUGAGUUGUAUUGAUUACAGUCACUGCUCAAUUCUAGACAUGUUAUUUGGUGGAAAGGUUGAAUGUUUCUUUCAUUUGUAUCUAAAUGUAAUGAUAUUAAUUACAAUAUAUUUUUAAUUAUCUUUGGCUAUCUAUUUAUCCAGCAGCAAAUAAGUUAUAUUAUUUUUAUAAUAUUUUUCCUCCCAAUGAGGAUCUUGGUGAUGAAAAUAAAAACCUAAAGUUAUGCAUUAUUUGUUUUUUUUUUGUCUUUGCAGUCCCUUAAUCCUAACACUAUGUGCAGAGGGUAUCACUAACAUUUAAUAUCAGAAUUUGAAUGUUGAUUAUCAUGUAAAUAUUUGUUCUUUUCACUAACAUAAUAUAACUUAUAUUAAAAUAUUUUUUUUUACUUUAGAUUAAUUGUAAUUGCUUAUUUAUUAUUAUCUAUUACUCUAUGAUUGUCUAUUACUCCAUGAUAAAGCAUUCUUUUUAUUGUUUACUCAAAGUGCACAUUCCAUUAUGUAUCUUAUUUUCAUCCAUUUCAUAUUCAUUUGGAAUUGGUGGACCCAACUCUGUUGAGGCAUUUUAUGUUUUGGAACCCUGAUUGUGUAGCUUUUAUCAUCAUAUCCAUGUAGAACAUAGAGAUUAAAGAUGUUUUUUAUAAGUUCUAAUUACAUUUAGAUUUUUUUACCUCUUGAUUUUACAUCUCUUUUUAUUAUGUUCUUAUUAAGAAUGCUACAUAGAUACCCCUGACAUGUUAUGAUGCAGCUAGGCUCCUCGCUGCUUCUUCUGAUGCCUCCAUGUAGAUUAUUCCUUUCUUCAGCGAUGAUGGUAGAACUAAUUUCAUUCUCUUGAAGUUUUUCAGAGCAAGCGACUUUAGGAUUGUUGAAGCUCUCAACAUGCUUCUUAAGUGCUUAGCUUGGAAAAAUGAGUUUGGUGCUGACAGCUUGACACCAUCAGAGAAGAAGAUUUUUGGUUACACUGAGUUACAAGGAAAAUUUUGUAAAACUGAUGAAGUUAAUUUAAUAGAGUGUAAAACAAUGGAUUUCAGUAGUUAGCGUAAAAUACUUUCACUGAUGUAUAUUUUACAGUGGGAUAGAUCUGAGACUUUUGUGGGUUUUAAGGUAUGAAAAAGGAGUGGAGGACAACUCUACAAAGUGAAAACUGCAUGAAGUAUUCACCCCAUUUUAGGGACAUGAUAAAGUUCAAUAAUGAAGUGUAGUAUCUCAUUUUUAUCGUGUUUGUCGUGGUUCAUUUUUUUACCA